rnacentral:tRNA from 1 species
AGCCCGGUGGUGUAGCGGUCAAUCAUGGAGGGCUCUGGACCCUCUGACGGGAGUUCGAAUCUCCCCCGGGCUACCA